AACGAACGCUGGCGGCGUGGAUUAGGCAUGCAAGUCGAACGUGAAAGGGGCUUCGGCCCUGAGUAAAGUGGCAAACGGGUGAGUAACGCGUGGAGAACCUGCCCGGAAGCGGGGGAUAACACUUCUAACGAGGUGCUAAUACCGCAUGUGUCUGCGUGAGCGCAUGCUCGCGCAGGUAAACGUGGCCUCUGCUCGCAAGCUACGGCUUCCGGAUGGCUCUGCGUCUCAUUAGCUAGUUGGUGGGGUAACGGCUCACCAAGGCGACGAUGGGUAGCUGGUCUGAGAGGAUGGUCAGCCACACUGGGACUGAGAUACGGCCCAGACUCCUACGGGAGGCAGCAGUCGAGAGGCUUCCGCAA
rnacentral:rRNA from 1 species